rnacentral:rRNA from 1 species
CCGCGGUAAUACGGAGGGUGCAAGCGUUAUUCGGAAUCACUGGGCGUAAAGGACGCGUAGGCGGGUUGUCAAGUCUGAUGUGAAAUCCUAUGGCUCAACCAUAGAACUGCAUUGGAAACUGGCAACCUAGAGUAUGGGAGGGGGAGAUGGAAUUAGUGGUGUAGGGGUAAAAUCCGUAGAUAUCACUAGGAAUACCGAAAGCGAAGGCGAUCUCCUGGAACAUUACUGACGCUAAGGCGUGAAAGCGUGGGGAGCAAACGGGAUUAGAUACCCCGGUAGUCCACGCCCUAAACGAUGAACACUAGUCGUCGGGAUGCUAGUCAUCUCGGUGAUGCACUUAACAGAUUAAGUGUUCCGCCUGGGGAGUACGGUCGCAAAAUCAAACACAAAGU